rnacentral:rRNA from 1 species
GAUGAACGCUGGCGGCGUGCCUAAUACAUGCAAGUCGAACGCUGGAGCUCUAGCUUGCUAGAUCGAAGGAGUGGCGAACGGGUGAGUAAUACAUAAGCAACCUACCCACGAAGACUGGGAUAAUCUCUGGAAACGGGGACUAAUACCGGAUAGGUAAUCGGAAGGCAUCUUCUGGUUAUUAAAGGUUAAAAACACUGGUGGAUGGGCUUAUGGCGCAUUAGUUAGUUGGUGGGGUAACGGCCCACCAAGACGAUGAUGCGUAGCCGGCCUGAGAGGGUGAACGGCCACAUUGGGACUGAGACACGGCCCAGACUCCUACGGGAGGCAGCAGUAGGGAAUUGUCGGCAAUGGGGGCAACCCUGACCGAGCAACGCCGCGUGAGUGAAGACGGCCUUCGGGUUGUAAAGCUCUGUUGUAAGGGAAGAACGGUAGAUAGAGAAUAUCUAAGUGACGGUACCUUACCAGAAAGCCACGGCUAACUACGUG